GAUUCGAAGAACUAGCCUUUUGCCCAGCACCCUUGUCUUCUGACCCCUCUUCCUAAGACAACUCUUUCGUUCAAGUCUCCUGAGCUCAUAUCCUUUCUGUGUUUUUAGAGUUCCAAUUCCAGGGGUCUUACGGCCAACAAACCUCCGAUGAGACCCUAUGAUACACCCCCAAGCCUUCGGACUGCCCUGCCUAGCACGCAUGCGCGUUCCCUCAGUGGUCCAAACCUCGCAUCCGUGGGCUAGGCUUCACGGGCUCUGAGAAUUCCACAAUUUUUCAUUAGCUGUGUGUCUUCGUACAGCUCUAAACCCGGCCAUCUGCUGAGAGACCCUUAGUUUGGAGAGGGUGUUACGGAGGCCCAGAGAGGACAAGACUCUCAGAGGCUGUUAACUGUUCACCCGUGAAAUUGGGUGGAUGUCUGGCCAGGGUUCUAACCCUUGUGGUGCUACUGACUGGAUAAGAUAUCCUGGACAAGUGACGUCUCUCUCUCUCUUUUUUUUUCUUUUUUAGACGGAGCCUCACUCUCCCCCAGGCUGGAGUGCAAUGGCGCGAUCUCGGCUCACUGCAACCUCGGCUCACUGCAUCCUCGGCCUCCCGAGUAGCUGGGAUUACAGGAGCACGCCACCACUCCUGGCUAAUUUUUUUUUUUUUUUUGAGACGGAGUCUCGCUCUGUCACCCAGGCUGGAGUGCAGUGGCGCGAUCUCGGCUCACUGCAACCUCUGCCUCCCGGAUUCAAGCAAUUCUCCUGCGUCAGCCUCCCAUUUUUUUUUUUUUUUUGUAAGUAGAGACGGAGUUUCACCGUGUUGGCCAGGCUGGUGACAAGUGACAUCUAUGUUUGAGCCUCAGUUUCUCCCCUUUUAUAAACCAGGGAUAUAAUCGUACUCGUUCUUCGUCUUCCCGUUUUGCCCCGCUGUGUUAUUGGGAAGACGUAGUUAGAUGGCGAAUGGAAAACAUCAGGCCCUGGGCCUCAUGCUUAAGUGGUCAAUAUUUGGAGCGCUGUGAUUAUGAACCUUAUAUAUUACCUGGAAAAAGAGUAAGCUUUGCAUUGGGAUAUUCUGAAUAUAUAAUUAUCAUUUUAUUAUCGGUUUCCUCCACUUUCCUCUAGGUCUCAGCCCUGUAACAGUAGCUCUCGCUCUAGGAAACUCUCUCUGAGCCCUUUUCCUAUCCUCCCUUGCCCCCUCAGCUCCUCCACCCCAUCCCUGCUCACUUUGUGUCAUCACUGUCAGGGAUGGGUGUGUCUCCCCAACUGGGCAGGCUGACCUGGGACUGUUGUGGUCACUGCUGUAUCUCCAGCACUGCCCUGGGGAUGAUUGCCCUGGGGAUGAGGCUCUCUAGGUGCAGAAGGUGAGUGACUUACCUCUCUGAGGGCUAACACAGGACAAGAAGGAACCUUAGAAAACUUCGCUCCUCAGCCAGGCGCGGUGGCUCACGCCUGUAAUCCCAGCACUUUGGGAGGCCGAGGCAGGCGGAUCACCUGAGGUCGGGAGUUCAAGACCAGCCUGGCCAACAUUGUGAAACCCCGUCUCUACUAAAAAUACAAAAAUUAGCCGGGCAUGGUGGCGGACGUCUGUAACUCCAGCUACUCGGGAGGCUGAGGCAGGAGAAUUGCUUGAACCCGGGAGGCAGAGGUUGCAGUGAGCCAAGAUCAUGCCACUGAAUUCCGGCCUGGGCAACAGAGCAAGACUCCACCUCCAAAAAAGAAGAAAGAAAAGAAAAAGAAAACUCAGUGCCUCAUCCUCACUGUUACAGACAAUAAUGGUGUUAAUAACGAUUCUUUGAAUGUGUAGGCCCAGUCUUUUAAGUCCAGGGAUGAAGUGAAUAGACUAAGACAGGGAUUGAGGAGAGACUUUGUGGGGUCUGAAGCUUAUGUGUUUUGUGGGCCUCUUUUUUUUUUUUUUUUUGAGAUGGAGUCUUGCUCUGUCACCCAGGCUGGAGUGCAGUGGCAUGAUCUCAGCUCAAUGCAAGCUCCGCCUCCUGGGUUCACACCAUUCUCCUGUCUCAGCCUCCGGAGUAGCUGGGACUACAGGCGCCCACCACCACGCCCAGCUAAUUUUUUGUAUUUUUAGUAGAGACGGGGUUUCACCGUGUUAGCCAGGAUGGUCUUGAUCUCCUGACCUCGUGAUCCGCCUGCCUCUGUCUCCCAAAGUGCUGGGAGUACAGGCAUGAGCCACCGCGCCUGGCCUGGCCUCUUUUAAAAAGUACAAAAUUGGCUGGGUGUGGUGGCUCACACUGUAAUCCCAGCACUUUGGGAGGCAGAGGCUGGUGGAUCACCUGAGGUCGGGAGUUCGAGACCAGCCUGACCAAAAUGGAGAAACCCCAUCUCUACUAAAAGUACAAAAUUAGCUGGGCAUGGUGGUACAUGCCUGUAAUCCCAGCUACUUGGGAGGCCAAGGCAGGAGAAUCGCUUGAACCUGGGAAGCGGAGGUUGUGGUGAGCCGAGAUCAUGCCAUCGCACUCCAGCCUGGGCAAGAAAAGGGAGACUCUGUCUUGAAAAAAAAAAAGUACAAAAUGACUUGUACAAAUUUAGGUAGAGGACCAUGGAAAGCCCAGGCAAGUGAGGGGCUUUGAAACUUUCUCCAGCCUCACUGCAACCCCAACUGCGCUCUCAGCUAUAAAUACAAACUGCUGCAAUCUGCUCUCCAAGUCUCAUACACUGCAAGGGCCAAUGUGUUGGAGCAUGAUGAGGUCUAAGCUUCUCAUGAGAAGUGUGACCUUGGACAGGGCUCCUGUGGAGGCAGGUUCCCUGCAGAGCCUUCCUAUGCUCUGUGGAGUGACCAAAUAAAUUCUGCCAUUCCGUCCAGGCUUCGUGGCUCAUGCCUGUAAUCCUAGCACUCUGGGAGGCUGAGGCAGAAGGAUCGCUUGAGCCUAGGAGUUUAAGACCAGCCUUGGUGACAUAGCGAGAUCCUAGCUCUACUAAAAAUUAACAAAAUUAGGUGGUGUGGUGGCAUCCACCUGUGGUCCAGCUACUCUGAGGCUGAGGUGGGAGGGAUGCCGGAGCCCAGGAGUUCGUUCGAGGUUGCAAUUAGCUGUGAUCACAUUACUGCACUCCAGCCUGGGUGACAGAGUGAGACCCUGUCUCUAAAGAAAUUAAAAAUCAUAAUAAGUAAAAAAUUCUGCCAUUCCUGCUGUAUGUAAGUCACAGGACAGACCCACUCUUCUCUCCACUAGGGGGCGCAAAAUACUGAUCAAGGGCUGUGAUUUCAGGUUCUAAGGGAGAAAGGGGGCUGGGGAUCCAACCUUCUAGGUCCUGAGGAGAAGGGACUGGGGGGUCCCAGACUCCUGAGUUCUAGGGGAAGAAGAAUCUAGGGGCCUGGACUCUGGGGGCCCUGAGGGGAAUGGGGUUCUGAGAAAGAAAGGAGGAGUCUGAGGCCAGCACCAGGAUUGGUUGGAAGCCGAACUGGUCCGGGCAGUGCUUUGGCUUGGCUUGAGUCCGUGGGAACCAAGUGGACACAGCAGGGAUUGUUACUCCAGGGUCUUCCCCUCCCCACCACCCCCUGCACUUGGCAGCCUCUGUUCUUCCCAGGCCCCGGGGACUCGGGGGCAUUGCCCACAGUCCCUCUCCAGGGCCCCUGUUUUUUACUGGACUCAGCUGCCCAGCCUCAGGACCUGGGAAAACUGCCCCAAGGGUGUUGAAAGCCUGGCAGGAGGUUAAUGCCAAGCAGAUUAGGAGAAAUACAAGCAGUGGAUCCCCAGAGACCAAUAGCCCCACCCAUGGGACUUGGGGAGCAGUACCACCCUGGACUCCCUCAGGAUACAGGAAUCUUGGCCCCCAGCCCCCUUCAUUCAUGGUCCCAGCACUGGCCUCCUUCAGACCAUGGAGCCUCUGCUUAUUUGCACCUUCUGCCUUCUGUGCUUUUUGCUUGCAAUUUUUUUUUAAUAAGUUUUUCUUUUUUUUUUUUAGAGACGGAGUCUCACUCUGCUGCCCAGGCUGGAGUGCAGUGGCACUAUCUCCGCCUCCAGGGUACAAGCAAUUCUCCUGCCUCAGCCUCCAGGUAACUGGGAUUACAGGCGCGGGCCACCCCUAGCUAAUUUUUGUGUUUUUAUUAGAGACAAGGUUUCACCAUGUUGGCCAGGCUGGUCUUGAACUCCUGACCUCAGAUGAUCUGCCCACCUCAGCCAACCAAAGUGCUGGGAUUACAGGCGUGAGCCACCACGCCGGCCCUAGAGGUUUGUCUUCUUGGGUCCCAGCCAAGAAGUACUGACUUGGGCACCAUUCUCCCUCUGCCACGGGACCAUUAUACACUGAUUGCAAUGGCACGUUUAAAGUGUCAGCCCAGGCCUGGUGCGGUGGUUCACACCCGUAAUCCCAACACUUUGGAAGGGCAAGGUGGGCAGAUCGCUUGAGCCCAGGAAUUGGAGACUAGCCUAGGCAACUUGACGAAACCCCGUCUCUACUAAAAAUACAAAAAAUUAGCCAGGUGUGGCAGUGGGCAUCCCUAGUCCCAACUACUUGGGAGGCUGAGAUGGGAGGAUCUCUUGAGCCCAAAAGGUCAAGGCUACAGUAAGCCAAGAUCUCACCACUGCACUUCAGCCUGGGCGACAGAGCAAGACCUUAUCUCAAAACAAAAUAAAUAAAAUAAAAAAUGUGUCAGUCCAGCAACUGUAAGGCAGGAAAAUAGGGAGGCAGGGAACAUAAGGCCAAUUCACUUCAGCUAUAACAGGAAACAUCCUCUCCGGUAGGCCAUAAAUGACUUUGUAACUUUUCUUCAUCCUCUCCAUUUACAUAGGGUGUACCAGAAGUAACCAGUGGAAGGGGAAUCCUCUAGGGGGAAUUUAAACUCCCAAAAAUUCUGUAACAGGGCUUUUGAACCCAUAUGCUUGGGCCCGCUCCCACACUGUUUAGUGUAUGUUCGUUUUCAAUAAAUCCCUUCAUUCCUUCCUUGCUUUGUUUGUGCGUUUUGUCCAGUUCUUUGUUCAGGACGCCAAAAACCUGGACACCAUUCACCGUUAACAACUGGAGACUGUCAGAGGCCACUGUGGACUAGCUGUGUCUAUGAUUUGUUAUUUUACAAAUGAGAAGGCUGGAUUUUGGCAUGGCGCGGUGGCUCAUGCCUGUCACCCCAGUACUUUGGGAGGCUGAGGCGGGUGGAUCACUUGAGGUCAGAAGUUUGAGACCAGCCUAGCCAACUGGCAAAACCCUACUAAAAAUACAAACAUUAGCCGUGCACAGUGGCACAUGCCCAUAAUCCCAGCUACUCCAGAGGCUGAGGCACACAGAAUCGCUGGAACCUGGGAGGCGGAGGGUGCAGUGAGCCGA
rnacentral:lncRNA from 1 species